GCAGAGGCAACCCCCAUGGGACUGAGUUCCCCUAAUGGCCAGUAAUAAAGCCACCUCAAGCCAGGCCAUAAUGCUGCAAGUCCCUUGGCUUCUGAGCGAGUGAGGGAAGCUGAGGUGCUCGUGGGGCCUUCCGACUGAAUGGCACUCCUCUCUGCCAAGCUUUGUUAGCCGGCAGCCAGGAACAGACUCCAACAGCUAGCACGGACCUCAGCUGUGCUUCUAUGUGGUGGUCUAAGUUGCUGACCGGGAGUGGACAUGUGCUUUGGGAGCCAGAUACACGGAGGGUUUUCGGGGUGGAAGAAGACAUACAAAGUUGUCUCACGCAUUUUUUAAAAAGCUCUGAGCACAAUGUUAAGCACUUCACAGACGGAUGGUGGUUGCAAUUUUUGUCAUCAUGUCAGUAGUUCAGCGGGAGCCGGGGUUCCUGGCCCGUGAACUCAGCCGGGACUCGGAGGCGUUGGACUCUCUGCUAGAAAAGCAGCGGCUGAUGAACCAGUCAUACACGGGCUCUUAAAACAACGAACGGGGACCAAGUAAUGAUCUUUAACUAGUGAUGGUAAAAUUUACGAGGACCAAACAGCUCCAAACACAAAGGAACGAGUUGAAGGAACUAGGAGAGCUUAAAUUUCUAGUGUGUUUUUACGUCAUCAUUAGUAUGAAUAUUAGCGCAAGCUUAUGAGUGGUGUUAGCUAAGCUCUUAGAAAUCUCUCAAGCUUUUAUGAAGACUGCAGGGCAAGAGAGAAUGCAUUUCAAAACUGAUAGAAAUGGUAAUAAGGCUACUGCCAAUCUCCUACGUGCUGGACAGCUCUCACACUUGCUUCUUGAGAACAUGUGCCUGUCUUCUGGGAAUUAGAGUACUUCGUUAUCUUCCUGAUGUUUUCAUCCCCCCUCCCGCCCUCUUUGCCAAAGAUUACCACCAAGAAUAUGAUGGAAAGUUUCCUGCAUUAAAAAGAGAGGCUACACUGCUGUCAUGAUUCCAGGCAGCUGCACCCAGCCAAGAAGUCGCCUAAAUGUUUAAUGAAGCAGGAAAGUCAUUCUUCAGUUUGAAAUGCAGACCCACUAGAUGGUCUGAAAAGAUCACCUCUGUUUGUUUUAUACUGGGAAUAGAUUGCUGAAUAUUUAAUGAGCACCAGAGGAUACAGCUCUGUGAGAGGCCAGCAAGGGUCAAGCUAUGGCUACCUGCUGUUCCCCUGCAAUUCCGUGUCUCUCCGGUUUCUUAAAGGUGGGAGAUUAUCAGGGUUAAACCAAGCCAGUCUUGAUUUAGCACUGUGUAGCACUGUGUAGCACUGUGUACGUGGAAAGAAAAAUAGAGGCGGUCAUAUGCCUGUCCUGGUGAAGCAGUGUUCAGAAUUAGAAGCAACCUUUCAAGAAAAUUGACGAGAAGGCCUGGCAUGUAUUGUCUUAUUCACAAAGGUGGGUUAGAACAACAGUAUCAGGAAAGAGAAGCCAUCAAAAAUCCCCGUUGUAAUUAUGCUGGGAGAGAGAGCUUCCACCCAGUUGAUUCUGCCAUUUAUUUGUGGUAUUAAGGACCCUCUCCUAUCUGAAUAAUCCCAAGAAAAGAGUCCUUUUGUGAACAGUUUCCUCCCCACCAGAUUCAGUCUUUAACUGAUUUAGCAUCUGCUGCUAUCAGAUGGGGGAGAGUUAACAGAGACCAGACACGGACGGUAACGGCAGAAAAGAAAUCAAGAGGCAUUUGCGGAUUGACUGGAUGUAGAACAUAAAUUUUUUUCUUUAAAGCCUUGAAGACGACUCUUAAGAUUUUGGGCAGGCCAUUUGUUGAAACAGCCAUGGAAAUAGGAAAGCCUUUUUAAGUGGAAAAUCAAGAGUAUAGUUUGAAACAACGUUAAAUUUGAAAUGCGCUUUCAACAAUCAAACCCAAAUGUCUGCUAGGCAGUUGGCUAUCCUGAGCUGCCAUUCUGAGUUGAGAUUCUUGGGAUCCACUGUUGUAGCGAGAGAAUAUAAUUAAAUCACCCAGGAAAUGAAGGUAAAGAGUAGAAGAGUUCUGAAGACAGAGCCCUGAGGCACUCCAACGUUUAGCGGUCAGGAAGCUUUAAAAAAAUCCUCAAAGGAGAUCGCAGAGGGGCCCCUAUAUAGGAAGACAAACAAGAGAAGGGCCCAGGGAAAGUCAAGUGAAUAAAAUGUCUCAAAGAGUAA